rnacentral:rRNA from 1 species
AAAACUCAAAGGAAUUGACGGGGACCCGCACAAGCGGUGGAUGAUGUGGAUUAAUUCGAUGCAACGCGAAUAACCUUACCUACCCUUGACAUGUACGGAAGCCCUCAGAGAUGGGGGCGUGCCCGAAAGGGAGCCGUAACACAGGUGCUGCAUGGCUGUCGUCAGCUCGUGUCGUGAGAUGUUGGGUUAAGUCCCGCAACGAGCGCAACCCUUGUCCCUAGUUGCUACGCAAGGGCACUCUAGGGAGACUGCCGGUGACAAACCGGAGGAAGGUGGGGAUGACGUCAAGUCCUCAUGGCCCUUAUGGGUAGGGCUUCACACGUCAUACAAUGGCCGGUACAGAGGGUUGCCAAAGCGCGAGCUGGAGCCAAUCCCAGAAAGCCGGUCGUAGUCCGGAUUGCAGUCUGCAACUCGACUGCAUGAAGUCGGAAUCGCUAGUAAUCGCGGAUCAGCAUGUCGCGGUGAAUACGUUCCCGGGUCUUGUACACACCGCCCGUCACACCAUGGGAGCGGGAUGUACCAGAAGUAGGUAGGCUAACCGCAAGGGGGCCGCUACACG